CUUCCUGACAGAAUGUUCUGUUGACAAAAUGGACGUUACAUCGAAACAAAUAAGUGGUGCUCUCUGCGAAAGAGGCAGAAUAUAUUCUCUGUGCGAUGUAUCGCUUGUAGAUCAAACGAGCACCUGUUUACAAACAGGUGUUGACACAAUCGUAAAGGCGAGCCGGCGGAAAGGAAACUUACGGUCUCUCACUAGAAAUGUUGGAGACUUUCUGUAUUUUUUUUAAGAGCCGAAGAAGUCUUGGAAAGCUGCAAGUUCGCUGGUCUUGACGAUAUUCGCGAAGUGAGAUACGAGUGCAUUUCAGUUGAUGUACUUUUCCAUCUGGUACAUGUCGACUAGCAGACGCGAAAUCGGUAUUUCCCCGAUGGUUUCAUGAAAGAACAAACGCUCGACAGUCUUGGAGGAGACGCACCUGAGAUAUCCGACUAGUAUCAUUAGCCUUCCGAUUCUUCCCGGUUGUUGCGGAUAUCGUGAUCUCGUGUAAUCCACCAAGAUGCGUUGCGCUUGAUCCUGCAGUAUUUCAAUGGGCUGAACUGCGUGCAGCCCCACAGUUUCUGCGGUUUAAUAAAGAAUAUAUAAAACAACGGCGUAUUGAAGCAAGUUUGAGCUCGGAAGAAAAUCCACGAGGAUCGCCGCAAUUCAUCGCGAGCGAAGGGUAACUGCUAGUGAACCUGAAUAAGAACGAGUUCCUGAUUCGUCGGGCUGUCGUCCGCAGGAAGUCUGCUGCGCACUUGUUCGUCCUCGAGGAGCGCAGUGAUGUCCCAAGAGAUAGACCAUUGCGCCAAGUGCAGGAGAAAUAGUUGCGUCCACGAUCGUUCCAGCAGCAACAGCUGGUCAUCUUUUGAUAUCGUCUGGAAGGGUGGUAGACAUCGCACCCAUCUAACAGCCAUGAAUAACAGUCGAGCUGUUGUUUCCUGUGUUAUCAUCAACAUUUACGUGUACGUGUAAAUGGAUCAAGUAUCGUGAAAAGGACACAAUCGCAAUGGAACGCUGAAAGCUACCUGCAGCAUUUCCCAGGUCGGGCUGAGACUCUGUAUUGUGCCCGUCGGACUGUGACUCGCUUCCGUUUCUAUCUGUUCUAUCGGAUACUCCGUCGUGGGUUGCAACCGUGCAUUCCAAACCAGUUCCUUGCAGUGAAAUGAGAAAGAAGUGGGUUAAAUCGUCGCUGCAACAAACCCUUGAAUUUCUCGCGUGUCAGUGGCUUAAGACGAGCGAUUUUCGAGUACGUGCGUGUCCGGACGGCGAAUGGACGCUGCGGGGAUUAGAAUCGCAUGCGCUGGAAUGGACCGCGCCCUGUUCCCUUUUCAUCUCGUGAUUCCUCUCUUUCUUUCUCCCUUUCUCUGCCACCCUCUCACUUGUGAACGUGCACACACAUACUCCUACACCAAUCUUAUCGCACACCUAUAAACACAGGCUACUGUAAUACUCGACCGGCACGUGUGGUCCACAAUGCGAGUUCCCACAGUGGAGAGACGUAGGCGUAGACCUUCUCGACACGUUUAACACACGCAUGCACACUACACACACAUACACACGCGUGCAUAUACAUGUACACGUGUGCAUGUUCAUUGACUGAUUCACGAACGCGAGCGAAUGUGAUACAACGCACGGGGAAGUUCCCGUUUUAACGUUGUAUUACAUGCUUACGUUGUGUGUGAUGCGUAUGCGCGCAUGUGUAUGGGGCACACACGGUGUUCACACGGGCCACGGAUCAUGGGGCUCACACUCUCUAUCCUGCUAAACGGUAAACCGAUCUGUGAACAUUUCAGCAGUCAGCGAUCUCGAAGGCUAAUCCCCGAGCAAGUGGGGUUGAUACACAUGGACGGCACUACCACCAUCACCGAGAUCACCAUCACCGCCAACGCUAUCACCGACACACCGACGAUCGUCAACGUCAUUGCCGUCGUAGGAGAAUGGGGU